rnacentral:lncRNA from 1 species
UUUUUUUUUUUUUUUGGUCCUAAACUCCCAAACCAAGUCUUAAUCUUUUAUAACAAUCUUCUUAGUGCUGUCAAUAAAGCGGCAAAAAACUGAUCAAACAGCCACACAAACUAAUUUUUUUUGAAGGAAUUUGAACCAUUAAUUUCAUUAUUCAUCACACGAUCCCUCCUAUAAUUGCAUAGGAUCCCAAUCCUGCGCAACCAUUGUUCAUUCUCAGAUGGAUUAUGGGCUUUUAGUCGCUGCAAGAGAAAUCAUUGGAGACUUGGGCCCGUUGAGAAAUGAUGUGCUUGGGCCCGUUUGGAUUCAGUUUUUGGCGAAAGAAAAACACUACUUUUGUUUAUAUAUAUAUUUUUAUCUCAUAUGAAUAAAAAAUUAAGUUGCAAAAGUCUGUCUACAUUGGUUCUCCUUAAAAGAUUAAUUAAAAAAAAAAAAGUCUUUGGGGAAACAAUCGUUUUCCACCUCACAAAAGGUAGUUAAAGAAAUUGGGGUUCCAUUUCUGACUUUAUCGAGAAAAAGCUAUUUUCGUCCGCUAAUUUAGGCCAGAAUCAUCACCGGAGUUUUCGGCGCUUUUAAGGCCGGCGAAAUUCUCAUCUGAACAAUAAUAUACCCUGAGAAAUAUUUUACUUGAUUUAAGUACCAACCUCAGAAUCCUGGCUAAAAAUUAUUUUCUCCAUUAGGUGGGGGCAUGCGACCCCACAAGGUCGAGAGGUCAAAGUUCCCUAGAAUCGAGUCACUCAAAAGCUUGCCUAGGUGAAUUAAAGGAUCCGUAUGAACACCCGUUUUGAUUAUUAUUUUUAGAAAUUUUUAUUUAAAAAAUAUAUAAUAAUAAUUUGAUAUAUAUGACAUAAAAUAAUUUGACGUAAAAAAUUGCAAGCCAAACAAGACCAAGUAAAAGAAUGCAGCAAGAUUCUCAAUUGGAAUAUUGCUGCUUGCUACUAUUUUGUCACCAAUUAGCUACAAGUGAUCUGAAAUACUAGAUCACAAUUUAAUCAAUAAAUUAGAAAAAAAAAAAAACGAAUCAACACUAGCAAGCAAAGCUUGGUGCAUUACUUUGUAAUGUGAUUUUGAUGAUUUCUAUUAAAUUUAGACAAAAAUAUUCCUUAGAAAAAUUUUAGACAAAAAAUAUAACAUUGUUCACUCUAAGAAUGUAGGUGGUAUUAAAGGUGGUCUAGGAAAGUUUUUCUUUUUCUUUUCUGUUUUCUGUCCAAAGAUUACAAUCGAAAGACUGUGAUGUGUUCAAUGCACGCAUAGGGGUUUGACAAAUAUCGAGCGCAGUGUGUUUGGACAGUAGGUUAUUUGUCCAAAUUUAUUUGCUUACAUCACUAUUACAAUUUUUAAUAUAUCUUUUUAUUUCACAUACAUCACAUCACAAAAAGUGUUACAGUACUUAUUUCAAAUAAUAUUUCAAAUAAUCUCCUAUCCAAACACUAGAAAUUUUGGGUUCAAAUCCUUCUAACCUCCUCACUUCUUAAGUUAUACAAUCUCCCUGCUGAAAAAGAUUUUUUUUUUUAAAAAAAAUAAACACUUCCUCUAUAGUCUAUAUUUGCAAGUAGCACUUCUUAUAUUAGUUGGGAAGUGAUAUUUGCACUUUUAAAUAAGCUUUUAACACUUUUUGGAGGCAUAUUAAGUAGCGAGUGGAUCGAAGUGUAAGAGGCUUAAGUGGGAAUGCGAAUAUCAAUUUCCUUUCCCUCCGUCCCACUUUAAUAGUUCUGGUUUUUUUUUCACACAGUUUAAGAAAAAGUAGUUAACUUUGUUGGAACAAUCAAUUUAGGUAGCUAUUUUCCUAAAAUACCCUCAUAUUAAUUAGAGUAUAACUUUAUGAGAACUUGAAUUGAUGGUAAAAAAAGAAUCAACUCUCAUUAAAUGGGGUAGGUUUAUAGUAACAACAACUUACAUUGAAUAAGGAUAUUUUAGAAAAAUUAAAAUACAACUACAUUCUUCAAUUGGAAAGUGGAUUACAAUUUGGGACAGACGAAAAAGGAAAACAGGACGAUCAAAGUGGGACGGAGGGAGUAUUAGUUAGUUAAAAAGAGAGACUUCUUAAUUGAGGAUACAAUAUGUGAACCGAGUUCUUGUGAUGAAAAAAAAAAAACUUAUUUCUUGCGUCUUAUCAAGGUUGAUGUUCACUCCUUCAUUUUCCUAUCUAGUUAAUUAUCUUCAAAUAGGGGAAGAAAGACGCGUGCCUUCGCCACCUUCUUCAACAAAAAUCAUGUGGCCCUUCUACAUGCCUCCAAAGUCCAAAUUGCUCAAAACAGAGAUAACCCUAAUGCGGUUGAGAUUUUAAUUCUAGCUUUUAGUGAUAAGGAAUAGCCAAUUGGACUCAUUUUCAUCUAUCUCCAAUAUAACAAAAAAAGGAGAAAAAGAAAAGGAAUGAUUUCUUACUACCUAACAUUUUAUUUUAAUUUUUUCUCACAAAGUUUAUAAUACAUGUUCAUCCUUGAAGGACAAUCAAUUGGACAAUGGAAUAAUGGUCGCAUAUCCAUGCUAGUCAAGAGAACCAAUAAAGAACAGCACACGAUGAUCAAAGGACACAAACGGUAGGCUAAGUUCUCCGGCCCCCUGCAAAAACAAAUGUGGUAAUCAUUAUCGAACAUGGGUGCCACCCCACCAUGGUUGAAAACAAAAGCUCCAAAUCCAACCACUCCUAAGUCCUAAACUCUCUCUUAUAAAUACUCCUGAAUUUACACCAAAAAGCUCCCCCAACUACAUUCCUCAACUACUAAAAACUUUAGAAUUACUUUUUCCUCCCCGGAUGAGGCCGUACCAUGGCUCCAUUGUCAUCUUUCUCCUCCUCCACAUUGCAAUCACAGGUGCUGCUGUCAAAAAUGGAAACAGCUAUGCAAGAUUUGUGAACCAAUUCUUGGCAACCCAAAAUGCUGCCCGAGCUGCCCUGCGCAUGAGACCGCUGGUGUGGGAUGCAAACUUGGCUAGGUAUGCACAAUGGUAUGCAAACCAAAGGAGAUUUGACUGCGCUUUGAGGCACUCUGAUGGACCCUAUGGCGAGAACAUCUUCUGGGGCAGCGGCACCGGGUGGUCACCGGCUCAGGCGGCUGCGGCGUGGGUGGUGGAGAAGAAAUGGUACAACUACUGGUCUAACUCAUGUGCCUUGGGACAGGAAUGCGGGCAUUAUACACAAAUUGUGUGGAGACAGACUACAAGGAUUGGAUGUGCUAGAGUGACUUGUUUUGGUGGCAGGGGAGUCUUCAUGACUUGCAAUUAUAAUCCUCCAGGAAAUUAUAUUGGAGAGAGACCUUAUUGAAUAUGCAUUUUUUUUCUAACAUAUUUGCCUUUUGGGCUUCAUGUGUAUAUCAAUUGCCGUAUUUCUCAUUAUUAUCAAACCCAUGCGAUUGAUGUAAAACAUGUUUUUUUUUUUUUGGCAGUGAGAGAGAUACUGCUGAAUUGUGUUAUCUAAGGCUUCCAAAUAAAAGUAUAGGGAUUACUUAAUAUAGAGGAGCCUUGGAAUAUUUUAGGUUUUGAAACUCUUUUCUUUAACUUCAACUCCAGUGUGAACAUAUGAUAUGUGUCAUGUGUCACCAGGUCCUGUUCAUCCUUAAAGUCAAUACAUUUCUGAUUUCUCACUUCCCAAGUUUUGUGUAUUGCAAAAUUUGCAUGAUAUCUUGGCGAAAGCUAGCUAGAUAAAACUCAUGAUAAUACUUAGCUACACGUUCGCAAAGGAUGGAAAUUUUGCUUCACUUUCCAGAACCUAGUCAGUUUCUAAUAAAGUUUUCCCUGUGUAAACACAGAUUAAACUAAGUAUUAGAAGUUUUGAAACCUUUGUGUUUCAGUAUCAAGAAGAGAGGGAGGAGAGAAAACGAAUUCAUUGCCUCAUCAGGCAGAUUAGUUAAUCUCGACAUCAUGUAUGUAAUGCAUGCCCUGAUAAUGAUAGUCAAGUAAUUGGUAGAAAUUGAUGAAGGUGUUAAUCUCGCUGUGGCAUUGAGCAUUAGACCAGACCAGACAAAGAUGCCCUGAAACCUUUCUGCAAAUUUUAAUGUGAAAGUUGGUAAGUAAUUUAUGAACUUUGCUAUUCAAGAAAGAGUUCAUCCAAUUUUAUUUUACACUUCACUGUCAUUUGGUUAAAUGUGAAUGCACGCGCGUGUGUGGUUUUUUUUUAACCCUUCCACAUCUUCUCACAUCCUUUUUAUCUCAAAUUAUCAGACACACGAUUCGAACCCAGAACUUGUUAGUGAGAAGAACUUUAAGAUCCCUAACCAUUGGCCAACUCCAGUGGUUAAGUUUGAUUAAUUGUUUAGUAACAUUUUUCCAUUUUUUCCUUUUGAGGUGGGGGUGGGGGUGGGGGUUGUGGCUCAAGGGAAGGUUCAAUUAUAUAGAGCUGGCGAUGUUGAAAUUGGGGGGCCUUUAGCAGCAUGCUUUUUAAAAGCUGAAUCAAGUGUAACAGCUGGUUGGAUGAUUUUUUCCUAUUUAAAAUCUGAUUGCAAUUCUAAAGUCAGAGCAAAUUUCUGUAACUACCGAGAUCCCCUUGUAAAGUUUCUUCAAUCUACGUAAAUAAAUCACAGAAUUCAUUCAUGCAUUAAGAAGGAUUUUUUUGUCAUAUGUCUUUUUCUUUUUCUUAUUGACACACUGUAAUCUGUCUAUAUUGAAAAAAAAGAGGUAAAACUAAUGUAGCAGCAAUGCUCAUAUAUACAUAACAACACAACACUGCAUUCAUAGGUACAUUGAUAAACAUAUGCGUGGUUGCGUUCACAUUGAUAAAAAAAAAAUGCACUUUGGUUUGUUUGUUUCAGCUUAAUAUAAAUCUGGAAAUUAAUUUGAGAAGAUAUGGCAUUCAUGAAGUCCAUUUCAUGAAGUCCUCAAUGGAGAAACUUGUGGGAUGAAGUUCAUAGAGUCCAUCUACACUUGCAUAUAUAGAAUUGAACCUGUUGCCACUUGUUGAGUUUAUUUGAUUUGAUCGUGGGUAGUGAGGAAGUUCAAAGAGCAAUAUGAGCUACUGAAAUUGGGCCAGUGGCGAAUGGAGCGUCUGUUGAAGCCUGUAAACUUCUAGUAACCCACUAGGGACGAGCCUCCGUUUUAUGGCUCAACUGGUAAGGACUUGAUCCUUACCACUCGAGUUUGAGUCCCACAAUAAGUCGCCUAAUGCUCGGUGUCAUGCUUAAGAGUGCAAUUUAAUCAAACAACUCGAUUCGGACUCGUAAGCAGUUCGGUUGGAAGGCUAGACUUGAACUUGACGUUGAUUGAUUUUGAUUCGAGGUCGAGUUACGCAAUAAGGUAAUCGAGUCAAGUAUAAGUAAAAAAAAUAUAUAUAUAUCAAAAUUGAAGUAUUUUUACUCGAAUAGUGCACUACAUGAAUUCAACCUGAUAAUGACGGUAACCCAAUUUUUAAUGUUCGGUGUCAUGUCUGAGGGUGUAAUAUAAUCAAACAACUCGAUUCAAACUCCUAAGCAGGUAAUAUAAUCAAACAACUCAAUUUGAAAUCCAAAGCAGAUUGGUUAAAUGAUAACUUAAAUUUGGCGUUGAACGAGUUCAAAUCAAUGUCGAACCACUCGAUAAGGUAUUCGAGUCAAGUACAAAUAGAAAAAAUUAAAAUUCGAGCAUUUGUCAAGCCUUUAUCGAAUAGUGAAUUUAUAAUACAAUUAUUUAUUAUAAAAUUACAUUUAUAGGUAAGAGAGUUAUAAAAUUUGCCAAAACACUAAAGUUUGAGAAAUCGAUUGAGCUUGAUUUGUUCAAGUUCAAGUAAGGUAAAAUAAGCUUGAAUUCGAGCUUGAUUUCGAUCUCAACUUUUAAGAAUUUUGCACAAGUUCAAAUAUUUUUACUUGAACAGUGCAGUACUUGAAUUCAAAUUGAUCUUGUGCACGGGGAGCUCUAAGAGGUUCUCCUGACUAUUGGAGCAACGCUCAAUGAUUUUUUUUAGCGCAAUAGAAUACAGAGGAUUGGCAGAAUGCUAGCACUAAGAAUUCCUUUGAUACCAGUCAAAUCAAGUGAAGAUUAGAUGUUCUUCUGCGGAGGAAAAGGGAACCAGUCCAUAAUCCACAAGUGAUCCCGUGAAGAAAAAUGUCAACCUCAACAUUUCAUCAGCACCUCCUCCGAAGAUAAGAAGCAGCAGGAAAAUCCUGAGCUUGUGAACCAGCAUAAAACAAAAACAAGAAGGAUUUCGAUUGUAUUAUAGAUUCUUGGAAAUCCAAGUAAAAGUUGAUGAAUGCCACGCGGCAUGUUCUAGAAUGGUUCAUGGCAUUCCGUGCUGUUCCAUAGAUGAUAGAACUACAAAUGGAGAAGCCAGUUCACGGGUGCAACAUGGACAACCUGCCCUUCCACCCUUUCUCACGAGUGACGAAACCUUCGAAUUAUUGGCUUAUGCUGGGACAAAAAGCCAUCCCUAUAUUCUAUGAUCGUAAUUCUCUAACGCCUUCCAAUUCACACACUCAUUGGCUCCAACGCCCCACAUAACAUGCAGUUUGUUUUUGCAGGCCUAUCCUUAAUUUGCUCGUGUCAUGUGUCCUACAAAUUUCAAGAAAUUGUUCAAUCAAUUUGUGGUGUGUGGUCUACAUUUUCUUUUUUCAAUUCAAGAUUUGUCUCUUUGCUCCACUCGUACUGUUAAUUAGUCUCUUCACAUGUCAAAAACUCUUGCCAAACGCUUAUAAAUGAGUGCUGCUGCAGUCUCAAGUCAAGUUAUCUAAGGUCCUCUAUGCACUUUCUUGAGUCCUGCUCUAAUUAUUCUGUGCUCAAGCCUCAAGUUCCAUUCCAUACUGACGAAAUGAAUCCAAAAUUUCAUCCUCCAUUGUUCAUUCUUCUCACAACUCUGCUUUGCAACGUCCUCUCAGCAUCCUCAGAAGCCUCCCUCCCACCUCAAGCAACCAGGGAAAGGCCAGCGGACAACGAAACAAUCUACAAAAUCUCCAAGAAACUGUGCUGGAACUGCCUAGCAGAAUCCAUAGAGUUCCUGUUUUCUCACAACUUAGUCAGAGCUGCAAAGUGGGAGCUGCCUCUCAUAUGGGAUUCUCAGCUACAACAAUAUGCAAAUUCGUGGGCGGGACAAAGGCAAGCGGAUUGUGCGCUAAAGCAUUCAUUCCCAGAAGGCGAUUUCAAGUUAGGAGAGAAUAUAUUCUGGGGAAGCGGCUCAACAUGGACUCCAACUGAUGCAGUCAAAGCUUGGGCUGAUGAAGAGAAGUAUUACAAUUACCAGGCUAAUUCAUGUGCCGACGGACAGAUGUGUGGGCAUUAUACUCAGAUUGUGUGGAAAAACACAAGGAGAAUUGGAUGUGCUCGAGCUAUUUGUGAAAGUGGGGAUCUGUUUAUGACUUGCAACUAUUAUCCACCCGGAAAUUAUAUUGGUGAGCGGCCAUAUUAAGUGACAUUUCUUUGAAUGUUGCUCGGUCUAGUUCCAUUAAAAUGUAAAGCUAUGCAACUUAUAUGGGUUAAAUUAGUACUAGGUAUUAAGAUGAAAAAAUAAAUGCUAAACUACAUUUCGAAUUAGUGGUGUCCAAAAGCCAAAAAAAAAAAAAAUAAUAAAUCAGCAUCGACAUAGUUCAUUUUUAGUAUAAUAUAUAGUUAUAUAACAUUAAUGUAUGGAGUUAAAGAGUUUUUUUUUCUCUUUUUUAAUGCUAUUUCAUAUUCUUGUACUUUAACUCGUACAUUAUACUGAAAAGUAUUUUAGGUGAUCAGUAUAAGUACAUUGAUUUGUUACUAUGAUUGUGGAUUUAAAUCCAUUCCUUGAGAUUAAUUCAUAAUUGAAUCAUGAAUGAGAUCAAACUAAACUCAGCUAAACUAAGCAAUUAAGAGCUGAAUUAGUUCAUCUCGAAAAAUUUACCAUCCCGAAUUCUGAUACACCAACAAGCCCGCCUUUCUUUUUCAAAAGCAAAUUAGGAAAACUGGGAGUUGUGCUUAAAUACUCAUUAUCGUUGAUUAGGCACCCUGUAUAACAGGAUCCACAAAUAUUUAUGUAUGUUUACUAUAUCUUUUAAAGACAAAUUAUAAAUGCAACAUAGAAAAACUGAACCUUUGCUCAGAUAGUUCGUCAAGAAAAAAAAAGAAAAAAUAAUUAAGUGUGGCUGGUAAGGAUUUAUCUUAAAAGAAUUAACAAAAUAGUUAAUUAAGAUUUUGUUGAGGCAGGAAGGAUGCUAGCAAUUUCUCUGGAAGUUAGAGCAGCCUAUCGUCCAUUAUUCAGGUCAAUAUUGUCAAGUGCUGAUGCACCUGUCUUCAGGUGGUGUAUCAUAAAUGUGGUGAGUUGGUUGGGAAUAGUUGUAUGUAAUACCCGCAGUCAAGAUCACAUAGUGUCUGGCAAGUGGCAACUAAGAUCAGAAAAAAUUUUCCUACAAUUGGAUCACAAAGAUUUAUUUCCAAAAAUUUAUCUUUUUUUUUCAACCAAUUGAUUGUAAUUUGUUGGAAUUCCGAGUAUGUCUUUUAGAUUGCAACAAAAUCUUGAGGGGUUUAUCCCUGUGAGCAUGACAGAAAGUUUCUGAGAAUGAAUCUUGGAGGACAACAUUCUUGCCUUGGAACAACUGAAAGGGGGAAAGUUUCUCUAGUCUCGGACACGCAUGCUCUCUCUCCAUUUCUUGAAAUGCAACUUCCGAUUGACUUUGAAUAUUUGAUCUAAAAUUUGGAAAUCUGUAUUUCAGUCAGCUAACAAGUGAAACUGAUGCUUGGAACUUGUUGGAUUCGGACUCCUACGUGUUCUUCUGGUAAAAAAUUCAUUGGAAGUCUAUCCUUCUUGUUCCUCAUCUCUCUGUCUUCUUUUAACUAUGCUCGAAAAUUUCUGGAAAUAUGGCAAUUAAUCGGUCGUAAAAGAUGUUUUUCCACUGUUUCCAACCGCCCCAAAAUAUAAGAUCCAUGAAUGGCAAAAGCAUCAAGUUCCCAAGUCAAAUACUACUAUAUGAAAAAAAAUAAAAAAAACUACUCCUCAGUCACUAUCAAAUAAACUACUUUACAAGUCUAGUAAUUAAUUUUCAAGAUCAAUCAGAAUAUUUCAAAUAAGAUUGUAGAGUCCGUCUAUUGUACAUCAAAUACAACUUAAAUAAUAUCAUGCAUUUCUUUUAUUUAUCCAAAAAAUGUUAACUACCGGCCAAGGAAUUGUUUCGGACAAUGAUAAAAUCUUUUCCUCAUGACACUGCUAAUACUACUACUAUCUCUUGCUUUCCUCUGCUUAUGCAACCGUAACUCCCGCGCCUCCUCAGUUCUUUGGGACCUUUCCAGACAGAGCUGCCAAUUUUACUGCAAUUUCUUAAACCCCUUUUGCUCUCUGCUAGUUAAAUUUAACUACGCCAUAUCGCGAUUCUUUUUGCUUUACUAUUUCCUCCUAGUCCCAACUCGCAAGCCUCUACCCCUCAUUUGUCUAUAGUCUAAUGAUUCUCACUUUCCCAACCAUUCACGCAUGAUCACCGUAGCAAAACUACCCCUUCACCCCCCAAGCCAAAUCUCAAGAACCCUUUGCACCCCAAGAUUUUCUGUCAAAGCUGUGCUGAGUUUCAACUUGGGAAUUAGAUCAACAAAACCCAGAAAAAAAGGAGGCUUCCUUAGGCUGAUUUGGGCAGAUUAUGAGAGUGGUACUUCGGGUGGGAUGGAACUCUUGAGGAAAUUAACAAGAGGUUGCUUUCCUGAUAGUCCAAAGAAGGGACAGAAGGUGGAAGUUGAAUCAGAUAAUGGUGGCGAGGAUUUUUUUGAUGCUGCAACUGCUGAAUCCAAGGUGCGGCCUCAACACCUUGUCAUAAUGGUCAAUGGCCUUGCUGGAAGGUAAAAUAGCUUAACUGUGUAUUUGUGUGUUUAUCUCUGCAUUUUUAUGCGAUUUUGGUAUUGUGGUAAUCUUCUAGAAAAAAUGGGGUUUUUUUGUUUGGUUAUAUCAAAGUUAAAAGAUAGAAAUUUUGGGUGGUUAUGUACGGAAAGGUGAGAUGAGGGAGUAUUAGUUGCUAAUUGCGUGCAGUAGCGGUAAUAGGUAAAAGGUUACGGUUUUGAACUCAUUUUUGGAAUUGGUUAAGAUAAAUGUGGUAGAUCAGAUAAUAGUUCCUCAGUGAAUAAUUGUUGUUGGAGGAAAAUUUAGUUAAGCAAUGUAGCGGAUUCUCCUUGAUGUAAUAAUCAUAUAGCUAUUUUCAUGACGUGAAAGCGCUAAAAGUACAGCUGAGUGAAAGAUAUAGCGAGGGCUUUCCGUUGGGUAUCUGUUAUAUCCAGCAAAAAGAUAAUUAGUUGCAAAAGUUCUCCGAUGGAUGACCAAACUGUGCUAGUUUAGCUUUUGGAACUCUGUGCUUAUUAGUUGUGUAUCGUUCGUGUUAUAGACUAGUGUUGAACUUAGUUUUGCAAUAAUAAGGAUGACUAGAACCGCCAAGGAUUCCUGGUAUCAGAUAAUUGUCCAAAAACCACAAUUUGAUCCACUGGAAAUAUUCUCAAUGCACGUGCUAAAGACUUCACAAGGUACAAUCCAGAAAAUUGGAGUUAGUAACAUGGUAUUGCAUGGGAAAGGAGUCUAAUCUAAUAGAUCAGAGGUUGGAGUUCUUUGCCAAAUGGCAUAUCCAAAUGACUGCUUUGUAAGUUGCAAAUAUGUAGAACAAGAAUAUGCACCUUGCUUAGCUAUGUGACAAGUCAUGUGUACUCAAUUUCUAUAAAUCCACUCAAAUCUGCCCAUGUCACAUUUUACUUCUUUCCCCAACCGAAUUAGAACCAUUCUUUGCACAAUACACCCACCCAAGAACCACUUUAUUUCCUAUAUGUUACCUCUCUCUCUCUAUUAAAUGUUGGACAUUUGCUAGAUGCUUCUAGUUUAGUACCUGAAGGGUGUAAGUGGUACAAAGUGCUUGUGAUAAUAUCUUGUACAGGGGCCUUGGUCUUUUUCACCUCAAGUGUAGAAGUGCUUGUUACCAGAUUUAAUUUUCUUGUGCAUAGCGUUCCUGUGCUCAUCUCAAAUUGUGAUCUUUGUGUAAGUUUAGUAAUGGGAAAAGGUUACCUUAUUUUGAUUUCAGACCUCUAAGAAGCUGUGAGAUGAUCGUCUUAGUGUUUUCAAUUUUUUAUGCUGAGAUUAUGUGACAGAUGUUACAGACUUAAGAUAGUGGUUUUGGCAAGAGUAGAAUUAGGAAAAUUUUAUAUUAAAGUGCAAGGUUAGGAGUUUUUUGAGUUGUUUACAAGAAAAAUAGUACCACGUAACAACAAAUGCCAUCUUCCAUUUAGAGUGUAUAGUUUUUUUUUUAUUUCUCAGUCUAUUUUUGGCAAAUGGUGUAUUACUCGAAGAUAGUACUGCAGAUCUACAGAGGGCUUGGCAAACAUCUAAUAUGUACCUUUAUCGCAUUAUCUAUAGUUGUCUCUUUUCUGCUAGUUAAUACUAUUUGUACCUUUAUAGAAAAAAAUUGUGUAGUUCUUAUGUAAAUCCUGGAAACUACUUCCGAUUGCUAUAGGCAUUGGUUUAAAACCUAUAUUCCUCUGCAUUUUAGAUACAAAAUCUGCAAACUUUUUAUUGGUUUUGAAAAAUAUUUGCUAGUUAAAUGAACUAUUAUACAUCUGAGAUCUUCAAUGUUACAAUGAAAAUAUGUCAAUUUAGUAUUACUACCCAAUGACAUAUGCCACUAUGAGCUUUUUGGACGUGUACCAAGCUUGCUUCUUCUUCUUGAUAUUCAUGAACAAAUGUUUCUCUACACUGGUCUCUCUCUGCCAUUAUCCUGUAGACACUUUGUUUCCGUAAACACUCAUGUACAGGCAUGGUACUUUUACGUCAAUUUGUAACUCUUGCACCAACUCUUUCACAAGUACUCCUGCUCUGUUCUCAGUGCUGCAGAUUGGAGAUAUGCUGCUGAACAGUUUGUGAAAAGAGUUCCUGACAAAAUUAUUGUUCAUCGUAAGUUAAGCUUUUUCAAAAAUGAAAAAGGUUUAUUUUUUCUAUUUUUGAAUAAAUUCUUCAUGUUAUAAUAUCCUUGCUUAAACAGGUUUCAGAAGAUUUUGCGCUUUGUUUGAUGUUGCAAUUGGUUUUGAAAUGCUUAAAGUUGUUUCUGAACUUGGUUGAUUGGUUAUCCCACCCCCCCCUUUCCUUUGGUGAUAAUAAUAGUUGAUAUGUUAUUUUUUACUUGAGACGCAGAGAUUGGAGUUUUGGGGUUUACAUAAUAUACAGAUUGUGUUUCUAUUUGCUUUAGCCAAUAUCGUGUUUAGUAGUUAUCUAGUUCUCUUGUUGGUUUUGCUGAUAACAGAUGCUUUUCUUCUGUAAGGUCUUAAAAUUUUGUUUGACACUCAAUUUUCUUUAGGAAAAGUUUUGUUGUUCUCUUUCUUUUUCAUUCUGAGAAUUAUUGGAAUGUGUAGUGAUGUUUUUUCCGUUAGCUUUCCAUUUCAAGUUAUACUUAACUUUCUUUAGGAAAAGGUUAAUUAUUCUUUUUCUUUUGCAGUUUUUUCUGGAAUGUGCAUUGAUAUUUCUAUCUUCAUGGAAGAUGAUUAAAUUAUAGAGAAAUGUGAUUAUAUUGUAGCUUGAUGUAUACCAGGUAGUGAAUGCAAUACUUCAAAGCUGACUUUUGAUGGUGUUGAUUUGAUGGGGGAGAGAUUAGCUGAAGAGGUAUUUUGCUAAUUAGCAUUUAUCAUGCUUCCAUUUUUGUUGUAUUUCUGGUUACUGGAACUUAGUUUAGUAGAAAAAAGCUAUACUUUGACACCAUAAUAUCUAGAGACUGAUACACUUCUGUCCUUUAUAGUGCAGGUGGUCAAUGUUGUAAAAAAUUGGCCUGGCUUACACAAGAUCUCUUUUGUUGCCCACUCAUUGGGUGGCCUUAUUGCUAGAUAUGCCAUUGGAAGAUUAUUUGAACUUUCUGCUAGGAUUGGAAAUGCUGACCAAAAUGAGCCCUCUUCAGUAUUGGAAGCAAAUAAUUCUGCAAAACUCCAUGAACUAUGUUAUGAAGCAAGGAUUGCUGGACUGGAGCCUGUAAAUUUUAUAACAUUUGCAACUCCGCAUUUGGGUUCCAGAGGACAUAAGCAGGUUUCUUCUGUUUUGAUAUUGUUUCCUGUUGCAAGUAAAUUAACUUCCUUUUGUAGUAUGUUAUUGUGUAUAGCUGCUUUUCUUCUGUGGUUUUGUAUCAAUAUUCACCUAUUAGAAUUGAUGAGAAUGAAUAUGGCUCUUGGUCUCCUGAUAUGAUAAAAUCGCAAACAGGUUUGAGAUUAUGCGUAUCAAAUCAAAUUGUGGAUCUUAAAAUGAGGGUUCAAUUUACAUCCUGGUGGUAUCUGCAAAAUUUGCACGCUAGCACUUCCUCAAAGACUUUAUCAUUCAGACUGACUCAGAGUCCAUAUAUGUGCCUUAAAAACAAAUCUAAUGUGUUGCACUGUUGAAGCCUUUUCUUUGAUAUUUUUUUGUCUCUCUGCUUCAUCAGCUCCCACUACUUUGCGGUCUUCCUUUCUUAGAGAGAAGUGCAUCUCAAACUGCACACUGGAUUGCAGGGAGAUCUGGUAAGCAUUUGUUCCUAACUGAUAACGACAAUGGAAAGCCUCCUCUCCUCCUUCGGAUGGUUGAAGACUCGGAUGACCUCAAAUUCAUGUUUGUACUAAACUUCCAUAACCUGAUUCUUGAUAAGCAAUAGUGAAGGAAAAAAGAAGAUUAUCAUCAUGAUUUGAAUAACAUCAUUUAUGACUUAUACAGGUCAGCUUUGCAAGCUUUCAAGCGUCGUGUGGCAUACGCAAAUGCAAACUAUGAUCGUAUCCUUUGUUGGAUUAAUCCACACUUUGCAAGUCAGAUUUUUCCUUUUUAUACACAGAAGUUCCUUUUUAUACACACUUUGCGUCUUGUGGUCUACCUUUACUGAUCUUAAGAUAUUGUUGGCUGGAGAACAUCAUCAAUCAGACGCCAGGAUGAACUUCCAAAGGUGCUUCGCUGUCUCUUAAAUUGAUUUAUGUCUGUCGUACAUUUCAACUUCCAUCAACUGACUGAACUCUCUUUCUAUCUAGGCUAAACUUCUUCUGAAAAAUGAGAAGUACCCUCACAUUGUUCACGUUGAUCAAGGAAGCAUGGAAGCCAAUAAUAGCAGAUCAUUGUCCAUGGUCGGAACAGAAGUAAUUGAUUUGGAAGGUGCUUUGGCUUUCCUGUGACUGUACAUUGUUUUGCCAUUUUUACUCAUCCUUGAUGUCCACUUGUGCCAAUAUUCAAGUUCUCUUAUGUCACAGUUAUGAAGAAAGACAAAGUUUCCCAUGUUUUUGCUUUUGAGUGUAUACGCUCAAGGAUAGUUGCACAAGAAGAUCUGUAAUAUUGAAAUUUCAACUUUCUUCAAGCCUAAAAUGCAUUGCUGAUUCAACUAUGGGAUAGGUGGGAAUGAUCAAUAAAUUUGUUUCUCUUAGGAUACACUGGACAAUGUUUCUCUUACUGGAUUAAUAAACUUGUUCAUGUGGAGUAGUGAAAGAUUCCAAAUAUGUUCCUUGGGGUUCUUAUGAUAGAGGAGAGGAAAAGAGGGAGGAGCAAUGGGGUGGGAGCAAGAGUCCUACCAUCCUUGUUUGUUCAAAGAGGUGGGGAAGCAUGAAAAGUCUCAGAUUCUUAUGAUAGAGAACAACGGAAAAGAGGGAGGAGAGAUUGGAUAGGAACAAGGUAAUUUUAGAUGGGGAAGUGUGGAAAAGAGGGCGGUCAGAUUGAUAUGGUGAUGGUUUUUUUUCCCAUCCAUUGUUUUCAUUUUCCUUCCAUUUUUUCCCCCUUUUUUUUCAUUUUUUUUUCUUCAAAGAGCUAAGAGCUACAGGUGUUUGGUGUCACUUGGCUUCUUGAAAAUAAGCAUCCUUGUUUUGUGAAAGUUUUUAUUAAUGAGUAUAAACAUUGUUUGAAUACUAAAUAAUUAAUGGGAGAGGAUCACUUUGGUUGUAAGAUCAAUCUUCUAUCUUAUUAUCUUGGUCCUUUGAUGUCACCAGAAAUUAGAACACAAUUACAAUAAUUUAGGUUGGUAUGAUCAAAUAGAAUAUCUCAUUUAAGAGCAAUGAGUUAUAAAAUAUUUCCCAUCUUCUAGUAGAAGAAUUUGGUCAUAUUCCUUCUGUCUGCGUUAAUGGUGAUAUCAUAAAUACUUACUGAAGAAAUCCAUAUUCUGGAAACUUUCAUGUGCACCAUUCUUGUAGAAGGUAGAGUUCUGACAUUCUGUCUCUCACAGAAGCAAAGAACGAUGGCAUGAAUUUUUUGGUUUUGUCAAUUGUCGGGCAUAGACAGUGUUCUUUUCUAAAUAUGGCUAUGUUUUCUGUCACUUGCUGAGAUUUAUAAUGUAUCUUUAGGCUUAAAAGUAAAUUUGAAUUACUGAACCAUCUCUGUGGCCCCUUCUUUGUGAUGCUCUUGCAGCACUAUAAGUAGCAGUUUCUUAAAAAUAUAAAAGCAGAUAUACAUGUUACUUUUAAUGCUGUUCUCUAAUGAUGAUGUUGCAGGAAUAGUCACACAAGUUCAAAUCAAUACUAUAUGCAAACGGACUUUUGCUUCCCCUCCCCCUUUUGUCUGUAUAUAAUGGGUCAGUCCAUUGUGAUAAAUGUUGUAAAGUAAAUAGUAGAUCAUAUUGCUAAGAUGAUGUUGAAGAAAAUAAAACAUAAUCAUCCAAAUACAUGCUUGGUUUAGUUUUUUUCCCCACAACAAAUGACAGAUUGCUAACAUACUUUAGAUCGAACUAUAUUUAGUGUCUUUUUUGGGGUUGUGAAGAAAGAUUCUUGCUUGUGGAUUAAAUGUAUAUAAUAAUUAGUCAUAGUAGUGAGAAUGUUAUGCAUUAGAUGCUACUUAGCUUUUGGACAAGAAGUUUCUUUUUUAUUGUCGGUCCACCUUUAGUCUGACUAGCAGUUAAAGCUAAAGGAUUGGCAAUAAAGAUUGUCACCCUUUGUGUAUAUGUAUGCAUAAUAGUAUGUACAUUGUACAUAUAUAUAUGUUUUUAACAAGGCAUACACGUGCUUCCUUGUCUGCUUGUUAUCUGUUUCAUAUAUUUUAAGACAAAAAAUUUCAAUUCUGGAUCUGAUGCAAGCCUGCAUUUUGUGCACGCAGAGGAGAUGAUUAGAGGCCUCACUCAAGUACCUUGGGAACGUAUUGAUGUUAGCUUUCAGAAAAGCACACAGCGAUAUGUUGCACACAAUACCAUUCAGGCAAGCUUUUAAACUUGAUUGUUAUGGUAGUGGUAGUUAUGAUUGCCUUUUGUCAUAAGCUAGGAACAUUUGAUGUGGAUAAAGCACUAUAGCUUUUAAAAAUCAGAGGCUUGUAGAAGUAAAUAUGCAAUUAUCGCACUCAGAGUUUUACUAAAUCAUCAUCAUGUUAUCCUGUUCUUGGAGUUGUACUUACAGAAAUAUUCCAAUAAUUGAUAUCAACCUAACUUGGACAUGGAAGUGUUGUAUACUGUCAACAAGAAUCACUUGAAUAAUUUAGGAAUGACAAAGCAUAAAAAAACACGUUGCUGUCUAUCAAUGACAAGGUGAAACAGUCUGUUGCCAUAGGACUCUGAUAUAGUAUGACUGUUUUCCAUAUCAUUUGGGGAUUAGCAUGCCCGAUAACUUUUUAGAGUAAAAGCAUGAGAAUGCGUCUACAGGCCUAUGGCAUAGGCUGUUUGUCAAGAUCACUUAGUUGUUUCUUCUGGCUAAUGACUUGAGCUGGAUUUGGCUCAGUAGUUUCUUGCGCUUAUAUCUUGGAAUGGUUCAAAUUUGGGUCACUCGAAUAUGUAGUUCGUUUUAAGCCCAAUGCAUUUCUUGCUUCUUUCUUCCAGCUAUUGAGUAAAAACUUCUAAAAGGAUGAAAGCUGUAAGUCAGAGGCAAAAGUUAGAUUUGGUUUGUUAUAUAGGUAAGGUUUGUAUUAUUUCCAGGAGGUGUUGGCUGACAAUUGAUGCUGGCAUGUGUUUUUUUUUCUCUUUCUUGGCUUUGAUCAAAUGACAUUUUUACCACUCUAAUGCAGGUCAACCGGUAUUGGUUGAACUCGGAUGGGGCUGAUGUGGUUCAGCAUAUGAUAGAUAACUUCAUUGUCUAAACAAUUGACUCCUGGAUACUUCUUUUCCGUGUACAUUGAAGCCUUGCAAGUGUUUAUUCAAGUGAUGGGUUAGGUUGCUUAUCUCUGUUCGAUCGGCCGCAUUUUUACAUGCCCUCAGUCUGUUUUGUACAUAUUGUCUUGGACUGUGAAAUGUGGUUAAUUAGCAUCUCGGUCGUACAUUCGAUGCUCAGUCCUGGCUGCUGUUCGUGAACAAUUUUGCAUCUUCUCAUUACGGCCUAAGUUGCAGCUGAAAUAGAAGAUCUUCGCCUGGAGCCUUAAGGUUCUAGACAGAAGGGUAGAGAGUGGAGAGUUACUUUUCACUAGAUAUACAUGUGGUUAGCAGGCUGGGAAGCAUACAACUAGUCCCUUGUCCAGCUAGAUAGAAGAGAAGGGAGAAAAAAUGCAUGACGCCACAAGAAAAUUUUAAUUACAGAACUAUUGAAUUAGCGGCUGAGCAUCUUUGGAUGGUCAUUUUCGCUGCUAAAAGGAUGUGUGGACAAUUAUUUCCUCCAUCCGCCACAAGAACUAUUGCAAUUAGCAGCCGAGCAUCUUCGGAUGAUCAUUUUCGCUGCUAAAAAGGAUGUGUGGAAAAUUAUUUCCUCUAUCUCAUAUCUCAUUACUUGUGGUAUUGCAUGAGCGUCCCUGUAUUUAUAUAACCUAAAUAUUGACCUAGUAUGGAAGAGCUUCGUUUUUUACUGCUCUUUGUUUACAGAUGUCUCUUGUUUUCAUCCACUUGGUGGUUGUAGAGCUGCUAAUUGGCGUACUAGGCCACCGGUAAGAUUUGUAAAAGGACUUUGGAAAACCCUUUUCUUUUUUUCUUCUGUAACUAGGAGUUCUGCAUAUUUCUAUGAGCUGCAAACAGAAAGCUCUGCUGGGGCCUUCCAUCGUUUCCUGAUUUGAAGUUGCUAGUCCUACAUCAGUGCUAAGUUUUACAAGAAGUACUAUUUAUUUUCUCUGCAUCCAAAUAAAGGGAUUUGAUUCUGUGUUUAAGCCGUGCGCUUCCAUGGUAACAAGGAAAAGGAAAAAUCAGUUGAUUCUGUGUUUGAAUACCCAUUAUUACAAGUCAAAGUAUUGAACCACCAAAACUUUUUGAAGUCUAUCAUUACGAUAUUUGCACCCAACCUGCUGUUCUACCAGUUUUUGUCUUUCUGAAAGAAGUUUGUUCUCUUUCCGCCGAUAUUAAUAGAUACCUAGAGGGAUUGGCAAAUGAUAUUAGCACUUCAAAAAAAAAUCCUCUUGCACUCCAUUCCUUUUUUAUGCGCCUAAAGGGAGAGGGAUGGAGUGCAAUAAAUUUUUCUAAAAGCGUCAAUAAACAUAUAAAGUUCGACAGUUCUCACACUUGUGCUUGCUACGUUCACUUACCAAAUAUUUUUUUCUUUUAAAUAGGAAUUGAAUUUCACGCUACUUGAUAAAAAAAAAAAAAAUUAUAUGUAGUUUACCUAACAAAUUUUAUUGAUAUUUGUCGAACGAUGAAUCAGGGCUGGCAAUAGCCCUUAAGAUAGCCAAAGCUGCGUGGUUACACCGUCUGCAUCAGUUGAUGGUGCAACGUAUUUCUGAUUGGAGAGGAGAAAAUGGUUUCCGGUUGAGCCCAGCCUGUGGUGUAAGAGGUGUAGGUAAUGAUGCGUCAUUAACAAAUCCAAUUUCGACUAAGAUGCAUUUUAUCGGCUUAAACUAUACCUACGUAUCGUUUUGUACCUCAGAUGUAACUGUAUAAAAAUUGCUCCCUCAUCAAAUAACUCUUAAAUGGUUUGGUUGCAAGUAAUUAUUAUUUUGACCGAAUUCACAAAUGCCGGGCACAAUAUUAAUUGACUAAUGCUGAUUUCUUGAACCAAAUAUAGAAGCAUGGGGAAAAAUAAUUUAUUCUUUCUCCAUUGGCUUCGAUACAUUAGCAACGUCAGAAUCUAUCUGUAUAGAGUUCAGAGUUGAAGGAAGAAGAUGAAAUUGCUUUCUGCAUAAAAUGUCAUGGUAGCCACUUAGGCCUCUCCUUGUUGUUUAGGGAUUUCCUCAACUUCAAACAUUUUCAACCAUGCUGGUGAUUGAAGUUCUGUUUACCAUUUGAAUUAGUUGUGGAUACAGGAUCUUCAGUAAUUGUGUUAAGAGGAUCUUGAGCAGGCACUUGAUACUGAGUCACUUCAGAUGGCAUGUCUAGCUCUUCUGCCAGCAGACUUGAUAAACUUUUGCAGAACUGGUAAAGCAUGAUUAGAUUACUAGAAUAAGUAAUCUAUCUGGUUAUCAAAUGGUUUUAAGUUUAGGUCUCAACAUACACAGGAGCGUAAUACUACUACCUCUUUGUACAAUCCCAGCUCCCCUGUUGAUUUUGAUACUUGUACAACACAAUGUUGAGGGGCCACCUCGAUAACCUAACAUUUGAAAUAACACAAUUUAUGAAAUCCUUAACAUGAUCCCUGUACACGAAGCAUAGCAUGAGAAUUUACCUGGGCUGAGAGGUCAAGACAGGAUCUUGAACAUCUAGUCAUCUUCCGCCGGUGCAUUUUCAUCUGAAAUUAUUUAUAAAGGACUUAUUUUCACUUGAAAUGCAUGAAACAUUCUCUUGAAAGGUCUAGAUUUUACCUUUGAGUGGUUCAUCAUUUCAACUGCCAGAUGCACAUCCUUUGCAGCAGCCUCAAUUUUCUCUAUGGUUUCAUUGACUGUGUGUCUAGAUCCUAUUGUUUUUUUCUCCUUUUCAUUUCCCUAUUAUGCAACAGAAACGUCUGUGACUUUUUCAAUGGAGGGGGAAGCAUUCAUAGGAUGAGCCAGCUUGAGUUUUGACGUGUACUUGCCUUUUCUUCGAAGAGUCUUGACAAAUCUAGGUCAUUUGACAUUGCUAUAAGCUGGAAAGCAUUUAUGAAACUCGAGGCACGGGGGACACUCACUUCUGUCUCAGUUUCCUAUACCAAAAUCAAUUGAUUUAGCAAUGGCUUAUCACUUUCUUGUUCUCAGUGUUGCUAUAUUUGUUUAGCCAUUACCUUGAGUGAAGUGAAUGCUUCAUGAACAUCAUCCACAUUGAUAUCCUCUUCCUGCCCUAUUUCCUCAGCUGGCUCAUAGUCCAUCUGAAACCAGUGAUGGUCAACGAUUUCUGCUAUAGUUAUUCGCUGCAAAUCAAGAAAAGAAUUACCUUUGUUCCUCAUAUUCUUGGCCUAAAUUUUUAUCCUGCUAUUUUGAAACUUACAGUUUUUGAGUUUGGAUCGAGCAAUCUAGAAAUGAGCUGUUUUUCACCUUCUGUGAACCGCUCUGGAAAUGCAAAUUCUGCUUUAUAUAUCUGCACUGCCAGCCAAAGGUAGUUACUCUGUGAAGUUCUACUUGGCCUGUGGUUUCUGUUGCAAAAUUUGGAAGUCAUCAUACCUUUCUGUACAAGUUUGUCAGGUUAGAGUCGUCAAAGGGUAAAUAUCCAGCCCGCAGUUCAAAAAGUAUUACUCCACAGGACCAAACGUCUGCAGCUGCUCCAUCAUAGCCGUUAUCAGUUAAAAGCUGUUCAUCAAAGACAAAGUGUUUGUCACAGUUGGAGGGAACUUUACCUCCAUCCCAUCAGGAAAUUAUUCCCGGCUUUUUCACACAAAUUUUUGACAUCCGUUUUAGGUACACCUUUUAGUUUCAGAUUUUCACCCGAAAGCAAAUUCUUCAACCGGAAAGAAAAAAGUAACACUUGCCUCUGGUGCUACAUAGCUUGGAGAUCCGCAUGCAGUAGAGAGUAGGCUUCCUGGUUUCUGAAGUAGAGGAUCAGCUAACCGUCAGUUAAAUCUUAAAAAGAGCUGGGGCAAAGGAUAAUAUGGAGAGGUCACUUUAGACAAAAGUAUCCUACCUGUUUUAGUGCACUAAGGCCAAAAUCUGACACUUUCACAUUUCCUUUGUUGUCCAGAAGCAAGUUUUCUGGCUGCAAGUAAAGAAUAUGCAAGAUUACAUAUAUCUGCAUUUAGUAUCUUGACUAGAAAUCAGAAAAGGAUGUGAGAAGUAAUCCAUGCUAACCUUUAGAUCUCUGUGAUACACCCCUCUACAGUGGCAAUGAUCUACAGCAUCAAUUAGCUGCUGGAAGUAUUUUCUUGCUUCUCUUUCGCUUAACUUCUUCAAAUAAGACUGAGAUAAGAAAUGGCAUGGACUUUAGUCUUGAAUGACUCGUUUCCAUGGAUAGUAAUUACUGCCACUAGGUAAAAUGUGGUCUUUUUGAAGCUUACCAGCUUAUCAGAAAGCUGUCCCCCUGACACAUACUCCAUAACAAUGUAAAUUUUGGUUUUUGUGCCUAGUACCUGAAAUUAGAGAUCAACUACUGGUAAUGAAUGGAUAAUUGAUUAGCAUCCCAUGAUUGAUUCAAAAGAACAAACCUCGUAAAUUCUAACUAUAUUGGGGUGAUGUAGAAGUUUCAUCGUCCUGAUUUCUCUCGACACCUAGAUGAAAAUUUUAGACUUAGAGAUAAAACAAAAAUGCAAAAUAGAGAAAGCUCAAAAACUGUAAACUAAAGAUAGACAAAUGUAGUUGAUAUGCUGGUAAAAUUACCUGUUGCAUCAAGUUAUUUUUCAAGACCAUUUGCUUGUCAAUGAUUUUGAUUGCUACAUAUUGUCCAUUGGUUGUGUUUAUGGCCAAUUUCACCUUGGCAAAGGAGCCUUCUCCAAUUGUUCUGCUAAGCUGAUACUUGCCAAUCUUGUCGGAGAAUCCCAUGCUUCAUGAGGAGAAAAACCAAUGCCUAUCCCUCAAGAUAUUUAUUUCCAACAAAGGCUGCAGCUUCUUUUCCCUGAACUCCCUGGAAAUGUUUGAUCGUCCCCGUGUGAAGCACCUGCACUUCCAGUCUUUCGAUGUAUUCUGAGAAUGAUUGAUUAAAACCCCGUUCUUGUGGCUCUGGCAGUUUUAAAGAAGAGGGCCACAAUUUUUUAUGUUGAAUAUUUGUUCUUACAAAAAUUUAAUCAAAUUUGAACUCUGUCUCCUUUGUGCAUGACGCAAAGAAGGGUGGAUUGACCUGCAUGCUGGCUGGCUGGUUGGUGAAUGAGAGAGAUGGGAGUUUGAAUGGAAGGUGAAAUGAGUUUGUGAUUCCAAAUGUAUCCUUUUCCUUCAAACUAACCCUCUGGUUGCCGGUGGGAGUAACUUUGUGGGAAACAAGCCUGGUAAACCAAUAAACCAGAAGCAACAUCUGACAAACUUCCAAGCCUAAUGGAUUAGAGACCACAUGCACCAUGUCAACGCAUGAUUGGUUUCUCGUCUGUUAUUUUUUUUCUUUUAAACUUUCAACAGUCAAAUUGAAAGCCCAGAAAUUUCAACCUAAUACUGUAUACUUGUUUUAAUUCUGCCAGUCCUUCAGAGAUUAGAGAAGGUUAGGUGAAAGUACUAAUUUCCUCCGACUCCAAUAACGUUAUUGGCACCGACAGUGCUUUGGGCUGGUGAUCAACAUCAAGAACUCAAGUUUUAGUGGAGUGAAAGGUCAAUAGUUUAACUCUUGCCUCCCAUCAAUUUGCUACUAUAUAUUCUAUAUAUAACUGUCACGUUUAAUGACUUUUUCCGAUGAUGAUUUAACUCGCACUAGUAUAGAUUAGAUUAUAGAUAACGUUAUUGGCAGAUAAUUUGUGAAGAUAACGAGUCUUAGCGAAAUCCGAAGCGGGGGUCCUUGCUGAGUUGAGCAUCUCUCUGGGGCUAGGCCUCUCUACUUCGUUUUCCACAUUAUCCUGUUUUUCGGCUGGGGCAACAUUGAAAAACGUUGCACUUAAAAUCAUCUAGUCAUUCUUGAAAUCCAAGAGCCCAGGACAAAGUUUCUCUGGAUUUGAGGCUUUUACAAUUGUCGUCCCAGUUAUCUGAAACAAUAUGUAAACACUACUAUGGCAAAUAUAAUAAUAUGAAAAACUCGACAAGUUUUGACAUCCCUUGAAAUGUGUAUCACAAAUUCACAAUCUAUCUUAUCUCUACUCAAUUAAAAUCAGUCACUGCUAUUUAUUAGCUGUAGGCUCCAAUAAAAAAAAUGUGAUUGCAGAAAAUCCACAUCCAUUUCCUUUCUGAUGUUGCCAUCCUCUCGAGUCUCGAGUCCCCAUACAGCAAACAAGCUGCUGCGUUUGAAAUUUUUUUUUUCCCCUUCUUCUUUUGGGGUGGUGGUAGAUUGAUGCUGGACGCAGACUCUGCGAAUUAGUAUGCCAUAAAUCCAACUUGUCUUUGCUUCUAGGGACCCCCAAAAAAUAAGAAAAAAAAAAAAGAUUGUAUGGAUGCUCAUGAUCAGCAAAAUUGGAAAUAGCAACUAUUCAACAACUACAACAACAACAAUAUAUACAAUAGCCAUCAAUUAUUUGCUUCCAGUCCUAGUCUUGAAUGUUUGUUGAGUGUCAAAUUCUUAAAUCACAGGAUAAACAUGUAAUAAAGGGCCUUUUUGUUUUUGAUGAUUACCAACUCUUAGUUUGAGAAGUAGUCAAUAUGACCAGAGAACGCUGGUCCUUUUUUGAUACUCUCUAGUAGAGUAGAGAAAUGGGUAGGUCAAUUUUUCACAUUUUUCAUCUUCUUCUUUUUUCUUUUUUCUUUUUUUGGAUAAAAUGAAGUUGGUCUUUCCUAAAGAACCUAAAGUAAAAGAUGUUAAAAAGAGAUAAGAACAUAUAAAACAUUUGACUUGGAUAAACGCAUAUGUUUUUACUAGAACACUUUCAAGUAAACAAUAAUAACUCUAAACACGUAUGUGUUUAGGUAGUGAGUUUGAAUAUUCAGAACUUAAGAAACUAUUACUGAAUUGAAGAGUUGAAUUUAUAAUCGUCCACAUUAUCAAAUCGUCAUGUGGUUUGAUUUUUCUUACCAUUUCCUCGGUUUUGCUUGUUGAAAAUUUCUUUAUAGCCAUCAUAUGUACAUGUGUCAUUGGUAUUUAUCAAAGAAUUAAAUCAAUAAAUAAAUAAACAAAAGGUACAUGAAUGAUCAAACAUUUCUAACAUGAUUACUAGAAUUUUACCCGUGCCUUAACAUGGUCUUUUUUUUAUUUAUUGUGAAUUUAUAUAAAUAUGAAUAAUUUAAAUAUAAAAAUUAACACAGUUCUACAUGUUCAUUCAUAUUAAUUUUAAAAAAUUAAUGUAUUUUAAAUGUUCAAUUGUUUACUAAUUUUUAAAAAUUUGUUUACAUACUUUCACUAUAAUAUGAUAGUAUACAUCAAAUAAUGUAGCCCAUAUCCAAAACUUGGUAGAUAUUCUUUUCUAUAAAUACUCUUUUAGAUAAUUUAAAUUUUUAUAAUGACCAUAAAUCUAAAAUUAUAUAUUUAUACUUAAUUAAGUAGAAAAAGAUCCAUUAAUCCAUUUUUCUUCAUCAAUAAAUAUUCGAUUUUUAAUAAUAUUAGUAAAUCUAUCAGUGUAACAGUUAAUUCUCUUUUUUACACUAAAUUAACUCAAAAUUAAGAAGAGAUAAUGAACAAUUUGAAUACUAAUCAAUGAUAUGGUGGUAAAAGGAAGUAAGUCAUGGGAUAUGUAAGAUUUCAAUAAUUGUGAUUUAAAAAGGUUUUACUAUACUUUUAUGUAAUAAUUUGAUAGAAAGCAGAUAUCAUUAAGACAAGAUUAGUUAUUUUUUAAAGUUAUUUUUAAAUUAAAAAUAAUUUUUAAACAUAUAAUAUAAUCAUUGUAAUAAUUUGAUAGAAAGCAGAUAUCGUUAAGAUAAGAUUAGUUAUUUUUUAAAGUUAUUUUAAAAUUAAAGAUAAUUUUUAACCACAUAAUAUAAUUCAAAUAAUAUUUAAUAUAGGUAAAAUUUAAAUGAUCUAUAACUCAUUAAUUCUCUGAAUUAGACAUUCCUAGGCCUAGGAGUGAGAAACUACAGAUUCCAUCUGAACUUCCAAAGACUUGCAUAAAACUCAGAGAUGGGCUUCUUCCAAAUUGACCGGAAGCAGCCAUCAUCACAACGUGGGACUUGAUAGCUCCACAUCUUGGGCUUCUCAAACGGGAAACAGACUUUCACACACAGUUUUUGUAGGGUGUACAAUUAAUGCACAGACGUCAUAUUGAACACGAUCGAAAAAUUAAAUGGGUCAACUUUUUUUAACCCAAACACGAUUUGCUAAUUUCAGAAAUUAUCUGAAUACAUUUGAAUAAUUUGUUUGCUUAAUUUUCUUUUUUUUUUCCUUCUCACAUUGGUAGUAUGAUGGAUUUUUCUAUAAUGGAGUUUCUAUAAGAAUAUAGAAAGUUGCAGUCCAAUCCUACAUCUCGUGUAUGGUGCUGGUAAUAAUUUUUUGGUUUUCCUUUUUAUACAAAAAAGGUUAUGAACAAAAACAAAACUAUGACACUUCAUAAAUAAAAUAUCUUAUUUUUGCAUAAUAUUCAUGUUUCCAUUUUCAUAAUAUUAAUUUAUAGGCUUGGUUAGUUUUCUUUUUUAUUUACUUUAUACCUCCAAAUUUUAUUUAUUAAAUUAUAAACUUACACAUUAAAUGGGUUAGAUGGGUCAAACAAGUCAACCCCUAUUUGAUCUGAUUUGGACCUAUUUGCUUGGUAGGUUAUUGAGGUCUGACAUGAUUUUGACUCGAAAUCUUGAAGAGUAAAUCUAAACUCUCUAAUUUCAUAAUAGAUUUGAAUCGUAUUUUUUUGGGUGGUGUUAAGAAUUGUCAUCCUUACUCUUAUGAAAACUGAUUGUUUUCUUUUCCAAAUAAAUAUGAAUUAGGACUUGACAAAUAUGCUACUAUCAAUUUUUUCUUUUUAUCUAUUUUGGAGGAAAAAGAAGGCUCACUAUGGAUUAAUACCUUAGGCUUUGGUAACAUUCCCAAUUUUCUGAAAAUUUUUUUCCAGUUAUCCUCUUUUUUUGGCCGAUGAAAAUUUUUAUGAAUUGGAAUUAUGUCGUACUUAAAAAAGUUGGCUAGAAAUAAUGCACUGUUAUUGGGUGUGUAUGAAUUGGCAUUAUUUAUAAGUCAGAGUAUUUACCUGCAUUUUAAAAUUUUUUUAUUAAUUAUUUUUUUUAUUUUACAUGCAUGAGAUCAUAAAAAUGCUCAAUAGUAAUUAUUCUAAAAAUAUUUCAAAUAAUUUCCUAUCCAAACAUUUCUUUCAUCACGUCAAGAAAUAUUUUCUCUUCCCUUCAUACUUGACGUUUGACCGAUCACCGUCACUGCAUUUCUAGUUAAGAUUGCCACGUCAUUCUUAACUCAUUAAUGAUUAUUUUUUCCAAAAACCUCGGACCAGAUAAAGGAAUCAUUAUCAAAUUUGAAUGGAAACUUUUUAACUAUAAAUUGCCAUGGGCACGUCCAAAUACAAUAUCACAGGCUUCUAUGUACCCAUUUGAGUCUCACUCACCUGAAUAACUUGAGUCGUAAAAUGAUUUAAACAGGCUCGUAUCACUCACUAAUUAAUCACAGUUAAACUUAAAUUGCAAUUUUCUAUCAAUAAAUUCUUACAUUUUUCAUUUCGUAAGCAUAUUUAUCUCACAUACAUAAAAUUGUUAUAGUAUAUAUAUUUUAACAAAAUUUCAAAAAAUAACAAUUCAAACGAGACCAUAUCAAAUACUAAUUAGAAACCCCAACCCAAAUAUUAAGGGCAUAUCAGGAAACAAGAAGUGAAGGUAGUGAGACCUCAGGUAAUAGUUGUGGUGGGCUAAAUCAUAUCUAAUGGAGUUUCUUGAAGCUCAAGAAGAAAGCAAAUUUUCUAGCUCAAAGGCAUUGAUUAGGCAAUGGCAUCCUCUGGAGCAAGGCCUUUUAAAGAUCAACGUUGAUGCAGCGUGGACUCCAGAGGAAGCGGGAAUUGGUGUUAUUGUCCGAGGUAAUGAAGGGCAAAUCAUGACAGCCUUCGCGAGAAGAAUCAGUAAAACUAGUCUACUUUUAUAUCUGCUGAAUUUUCUGAAAUUCUUGCUGUCAUUGAGGGUUUGGAAAGGGAUAAGGAAGUUGGAAUUGGUGCCGUGACUUUUGAAGAGUGACUCUAUGGAUAUGACUCAAAAGUUGAAUGGUGAUGAAGUCGGAUUUCUUUAAUUUGGGCAACCUGUUGGAUAAGGCUCGAAUGUUGUACGGGAACUUUCAAUACUGUAAAAUUUCCCAUACGUGUAGGACUGGAAAUAUACCAACUUACUAUAAUCUUUACUUAAUUAAAGCUGUAAUUGAAGAUUGAACGUUCUGUUUUCUUCCAAAAAAAAAAUAAAAAUCUGCCAGCUGCGUGUUUGUCACGUAUGAUAAAAAAUCCCAUCGUGAUAGGAGUAGUAUCCUUAUCUAUAAUCAGGCUUUAUUAGUAUACAUAAUUACCUGAUUUUAUCCUGAUUAGACGCCUAUAUCCCAAUUUAAAUUUCACUUUUUUAAGGAUUUAGUUAUCCGUAGACUAUCCAAAUUCCAAAGAAACGUACGUCACCUUAAAAACACCUCACUCCUUCAAAAAAAAAAAAAGAAAAAAGAAAAAACACCCAACCUAGUUGCUCUCUACCCAUAAAUCUCGUCCUUGCUCUAUUGAACUCUAAGUCUUUCUCCAUUGACAUCCCUGAGUAAGUGAUUUCUCUCUCCAUUACUUUUUUUUUAUUUUUAUUGUACUAGUUUUUUUGGCUGAACUGAUUAGCAAUUUUUAAAUGAAGAGAAGUAAAAAGGAUCUGCAAAUAAUCCCAGAAAUGAUUGAUUUUUAUUCUUUUGAGGACUGUUCAUUUAAGGAAGUCUUUUACAAUUGUUUGAGCUUAUUAGCAAUUUCUAUUCGAAUAGAGGGAAUAAGGGACUGCAUUUAAUGAUAAAAAGAUUAAUCUUUUGUCGUUUUUUGAUCACUGUUGAAUGAGCAUAUGAGGCAGGGGAAGUAGGAAUUUUCUCGGGGUUUUUCAACUCGGUGUAAAGCACUUAUCUUGUCAAUUUGUUGAUGAUAGAAUCGAAAGUUUGGCUUAUCCUGCUUCAUUUGUCAUUGGUUUUUGUUGGAAGGCUUUUAAUGCAUAGGCGGCUAAAAAAGGCUCCAUAUUGCAAUUGAAUUAUAAUUUGCUUAAAUACGUUUGUUCCUUCACAUUCUUAGUUUUUCACUGAUAGGAUGAAGUAAACAGAUUUUUUAGGGGUAUUUUUUAAUCUAUUUUAUCAGAAUUUUAGUGGAAGGAGGCCUUAUUUAUGUCUCGUUACAUUUUUCCCCUUAUUUGUUUUUGUCUUUUCUUGAUUUAAUCAAAGCAGUUUAUUUUAGCGUGUAAAGUUGUUAUUAGAUGGAGUUGCUUUAUGAAUGCAGCCUUUGGAAUAUGAAAUUAAUUUCCUGUUAUUUUUUCUUUUUUGGUGUAUUAUCGUUAUUUAUCUAAUAAAUUGAUGCCUUUUUUAGUUAACUGAUACAGGUUGCAGAGUUUUGCAUGCGAUCAUCACAAUGAAGGCCUGGAAAAUCUUAUCGCUGUGUCUUUGUUUGAGUUUAGUCUUGAACGUUGUGGUAAACAUGAUUUUGCUCUGCCAACAAUUUGUAUAGUGUACAUAUAGUAGGAGCAUAUUGCAGCUUAAUGGUUUUUGUUGGGUUGCACGUCCUUGAUUAUAGUAGUCUGGGAUAUGGUGAGGCUGUAUGUUUAUUCAUCAUCUGAUUGAACACGGAUGCAGAUUGUCGUGGGCCCGCCAACUUGUCCUGCACAUGUUGGUAGUGGGUGUGCUAGUGAUUCAGAUGAAUGGCAAGGAGAAUUCUUUCCAGCCAUUCCUAAGAUUAAAUAUGAGGUAAGAUAGGAAAAUGAAGGUUCUUGAUUGAUGAAAGUUGCAUAGACUUUAAACCAUAUGAAUACGCUGUACUUAGGAGUAGUUUCACAAUACAUCUACACUGGAAUUCGAUGGUUUGGAGGAACUUGUCUUAUGCAUUCACUUCUUUCUGUAGGGUCCUAAGAGCAAGAACCCACUUGCAUACAAAUGGUACAAUGCAGAUGAGGAGAUUCUUGGAAAAAAGAUGAAGGUUAGUUUUCAGAAACUUUUUACCAUUUUCUGAAUUCGAAUUCCCACGUAUAUUUACCCUAACCCAGCCUCCAACUCCCCCCAACCAAAAAAUGUCAUUUCAAGUUGCUUAGUAACGGCAUCCAUGAACUCACUAUUUGCAUCUAGGAUUGGAUGAGAUUCAGUGUUGCAUUUUGGCAUACAUUUCGUGGGACUGGAGCUGACCCAUUUGGUGCACCUACAAAACUUUGGCCGUGGGAGGACGGUACCAAUUCCUUGGCCAUGGCUAAGAGAAGAAGUAAGAUAAAUAAUUUGUUACUCUUCUGAAUUAUUACUUGUCGUAACUAUACAAUCUUUAAAAUAGGUAAUUUUCACAUUAUGUUUGUAUGAUUCAGUGAGAGCAAACUUUGAGUUCUUGGAAAAGCUUGGACUUGAUCGAUGGUGUUUUCAUGAUAGGGACAUUGCUCCUGAUGGUAAAACAAUUGAGGUAAGAUAUUUUACGUUCUUAUAUGUUUAUUAUACUCCAUUUUAUUUUUAGGACACAAGUAAGAGAUUGUUGUACAGAGGUCACUUGGACCGUGUUGUAUGCUUACGCAAACUUAAUAGCAGAGUCGAGUCAGUAUGGCUAAAGCUUGAAAAGUUUCUUAGUUUUGUAUUCUCACUAUUGGCUUGACCAUUGUUUUGGAUGGGACGAAAUUGACAUUAUCCAGGUAGCAAUUUCUGGAGUUCAUAAUAUAGUUAACUGGCCAAAUAUUGUUAAAUUUCACUUCUUAAGGGUUUUUUUGCAAUUUGGAAUUUUAUUAUCAGUAAAUUUAUCCAAAAGAGCCACUGUUUAUGAUGCAGGAAACCAAUGCCAACUUGGAUGAAGUGGUAGCUCUUGCAAAAGAGCUUCAGGUAAUUUCUAACUGAUCAAGUAUAUAUCAUACGUUCUAUACAGUAAUCAAAAUAUAAGAUUUCAUUUUAAGCAAGAGCAAAAAAGCUGUUUUGACAUUCUGUCUUUUUAGGCUUUUAGUCUUCUGCUUUGAGAUGGAUCUCUGCUAGAGAAUAUGGUGUAAUGAUCAGUCUGUAUUAUUCUCUGUUCUCCCUGUUGGAUCCUUGAUAAGUAUUAAUUAUUUAGUUUUCUUCUGGUUUAAUUCUCUCUCUUAUUUCUUGUGUAACUCCUCAGGGGACGAAGAUUCGUCCUUUGUGGGGCACAGCCCAGUUGUUUCUGCAUCCUCGCUUCAUGCAUGGUGCUGCUACCAGGUAAUCAUGCUCUCUAAUGGAUUUAAUGAUCUCAAAAUUAUCAAUGAUGAGCUCAUAUUCUUUUAAUUCUUGAAGUACAGCUCUGAAUUAGGUGUAUAUGCCUAUUCUGCAGCACAAGUUAAGAAAGCCAUCGAGGUGUGUUUCUCAUUUUGGUGUUGAUAAUCCUUGAAAUUGCCUUGCCUUGUUGUUUAUUAUUAUGUGUUCAAGUGUGAGGUAUGGGACAAAAAAUCUUUACUUCAGUGGUGAGAGUAUGAAAGGGGAUACUGAUAGAUCUCACAUCUGAUGCUAUGGGCUACAUGUGUUGGUUAAGUGCAACUGCUCUUUACAUGUCAAUUGCACUUGCCUGCUUCUGUCAAAUUGAUUUUGCUGGUUUUAAUUCUGCAGGUCACUCAUUAUCUUGGUGGGGAAAAUUAUGUUUUCUGGGGUGGUAGAGAGGGCUAUCAAACCCUUGUGAACACUGAUAUGGAAAGAGAGCUGAAUCAUUUGGUAAUUUCUUUGUCGGCCCUUUUGUGGAGCAACUGCUAAAACUUAUAUUUCUGUACAACGUCUUCAUUUUCAUCUCUUGCUAUUUUGUCUAUUAGUUUUUAUCAAACAGAUCCAGCUAAACAUUACCACAGACUAAAGAAUUUAUUCUCUUUGUGGUUAUGCAACCUAGUACAUUGUUUCAUACAUAGUUGGAUCUCUAGCUAAGUAUAACAAUUAGUUGGAUCUCUUCGCAGGCGAGGUUUCUUGAAGCUGCUGUUGCCUACAAGAAGAAGAUUGGUUUCAAUGGUAUUUUUCUACAUUCACUUUGUUGAGUAUAUAUUUUAAUUUGAUUGAUUUAUGAGAUGAUGUGCUAAGAACUAGUAGUUUUGAAGUAGAAACUGUGUUUUAGCAUUCCUAUGUGCUUAUUAUCUCUUUGCCUUGACUUAUCUAAUUCUUUUUCAUUAUUCACAGGGACCUUUCUCAUUGAGCCUAAGCCUCAAGAGCCUACAAAACACCAGUGCGUUUAUGUUUUAAUGUUUGAUUGUGCAUUUUAGUCCAUAAUUUUGGGCAUAUUCAUUUGUUUUGAUGGAUGGCAGGUACGAUUGGGAUGCUGCAACAUCAGCUAAUUUCUUGCGCAAAUAUGGCCUCAUAGGUGAGUUUUACACUCUUGUAGCCCCUAUUUUACUAGUAAAUGUGAGUAUUAUUUCUCUUGGAGUGAGUGUUGAAAGUCAAAAGUCCAUUGCAUCAUCAAGCUCCAAUCUUGAUUUGUCAUUGUUUCUGGUAUCUUUUGAGAUAUCAGUGUUCUGCAAUUGUGCUUGCCCGCAUGGAUCGACUCUAUAAUUGCAGCUAAUCGAAUCAUAAAUAAGCAUCAUGUAUACCCUUGAGGACAGUGGAAGAGAUAACUUUGCUUUAUGAUGGUUCUUGUCUUGAUGUUCACUGCUUGUACCACCUUCUGCAGAUGAAUUCAAACUGAACAUUGAAUGCAACCAUGCCACUCUAUCUGGUCACAGGUUUGAAAAUUUCCUGAUUUCGACAUUCUAGUUGAAAUCUCUACUUUAUCUGGCUUUUCAGUUGAUUUGAAUUCCGAUGUGAACAAAUGGAAUGAGUUGUUUUUACAUGCUCCUUUUUGUAUUGCAGCUGUCAUCAUGAACUUGAAACUGCUAGAAUAAAUGGUUUGCUGGGAAAUAUUGAUGCAAACAGUGGCGACCCUCAAACUGUUACUUGAAGUUCAUGAUCAAUAGUUGUUCUUUUGGUCAUGGCAGAGACUUGUUAUCCUGUGAAAAUCAUUUUUGGCUAUAGGUUGGGACACAGAUCAAUUUCUAAUGGAUAUCCAGGAAGCAACCUUGGUUAUGCUCAGUGUUAUUAGAAAUGUAUGUACAGUAUGGUCUAUCUCUUGAACAUAUUAAAAUUGAUGGCAAAUGUUAAAUGAUCACUGUUUAACAGUUUACUGUCAAUUACAGGGAGGAUUAGCACCAGGAGGGUUCAAUUUUGAUGCCAAAUUGUUAGCUUCUUCUCCCACUUUGUUGUUUUAGUCUCAUUUCUUUUGCCAAUGCAUAUCCUGUUAAUUGCGAUGGAUUUAUUUGUAAUUUUUGUCCAGUAUGUUUAGAUGGAAUGGGUGCAACUCGGUUUAGUAGUGCUUUAAAAAAAAAAAAAUUGUAGUCAGUGCAUAAGUGGGAGACAACUCAAAUUUGUAAAACUUCUUUGCACAAUUAUACGAACGAUUUUGAUAUGGUGGAAUUGAAAGUAAACCCACGCCAUUGUGGAAAAAUGCAGAAUAUAUUUGACCUCUCUGGCCUUUAUAUCCAUGGAUGAACCUUGCCUUGCAAUGAAGAUUCUAUUUAGAAUUUUGCUUCACAAUUUUAUUCAUCGCUAUUUAUCAGGCGAAGGGAGAGCACAGAUGUUGAGGAUUUGUUCAUUGGCCACAUUGCUGGAAUGGAUACUCUUGCACGUGGUCUUCGAAAUGCUGCGAAGCUGAUUGAGGUGAUGUUUCUCACUCGAUAAUUACUUUUUUACUUUCACCUCUCCCUUUCUAAAGAUGCUUAAACUUUUUAAGCAAACGAUGACGUUUGUUUUGGGGCAUUGAUCCUGAAAACAGGAUGGCUCUUUGGAUGAACUUGUUCGCAAGAGAUAUCAAAGUUUUGAUACAGAACUGGGAGCCCAGAUCGAGGUGACAUUCUUUGGUUUAAGCUUUUAACUGAUGCUUUGACUAGUCAUCACUUUGCUUCCUUUUAUCUCAAACGAAUUUCUGAUAAUGUGUCAUAACAGGCUGGGAAGGCGGAUUUCGAACUGCUUGAGAAGAAAGCCAAGGAGUGGGGAGAACCCAAAGUUCCUUCUGCCAAGCAGGUAAGUCUUAAGACGAACAGUUCUUAUAGCGACUGUUAAGUGCAUUUUGCUGUUUUUCACUGACUGAAUAUCUUGUAAAUUGAUCUAGGAACUUGCGGAGAUGAUUCUCCAGGCUGCAUUAUAGAAGAGAGUCGUUCAACUUAAAAACACCUUUACUCAAAAAUGCUGUCCCACCUCCGUACUUCUUCCUCCAUGCCCUUGUUCUAGAGAAUAAUCCCUGGUGCCUUUUAGCAGCAGUACAGGUUGUUGUGCCGAAGAGUCAAUGACACAUCUCAGCAUUAUCUAUUAUAUUUUACCUUGUGUAGUUAGCUAAAGACUACUAUUUAGUUGAUAAUUUGAUGCCAUAGCUCUAUAGGAACAACCCCCCCCCCCCUCCUCCUCCUCCUCUCCCUUUCUCUCUCUCGUUGUACCCCCAUAUGGUGGGAGGCUAGAUGAAAAUCCUUAUCAGACGUUUUUUGGUAAAAAUCCAUUUGAACAAUUCUUGCGGAUUAAUACUAUAACCAAAGAUCUCCUGCCCAUGUGAAACCACUGCUUCAAGUAGACCGUCACCUGGCGGUCAAAUGUCACAGGCGUUUGUUCUCCAUCAUGCUGGCAGCUUGAGGGGUCUUAGUUUAUGUACGAAAGAUCGACAGCUUCAAACAUCUCACUCCUUCACAAUGCACUCGACGGUCAAUCCAAGGAUAUUUUCAACAUUCAGGGUGUGGUUUGAUCAAUGAACCAAUCUCUUCAAGAAUUUAGAAUUUGAAAAUUCUGAGUUCAAAUACCCCAUUUCCCCUGCCUUUGCUGAUUUUUUUUUCUCCAAAAGACCAAUCAAUCUCUCGAUUUUCCAAUUUACUCUUUUUCUAUUUUGACCUAUUUCAGCUUCUAAGGACUAGCAGACUUAAUUAGAACAAAAGAAUGGUUUGGUACUUCCUUUGAAUUCUUUUGACUACAAGUAGAAUUCGAAAUCCAAAGAAGGGUUUAGUCUUUUUUGGUAACCGGUUAGCCAAAGCUAGUGGUUCUUGGGUUUGUCGUACACGUAGGCCCUUUUCUUUUUGUCGUAAUUCAGGAGCGGAUUGUUGUCAUUUUCGCUAGAACUUGUCAAAUCAUGAAACGGAGAGCUUCUCUGUUAUAAAGAUAUUUUAUUUUAGUGGCGUUGAUUGUUAUUGUGGCUACCUCAAUUUUCUGUGGAGGAUUGUUGUGGUUUCUUCAAUUUUCUGAAACACAUUCCUGAUGAAUGACAUCUUUCACGUUAUGGUCACAAAAUGUACUCCACUAAAUUCGAAUUUUGAUUUUCUAUAAGAUCCUACCUUUGGAAAGUGCCACCAAACAUGUUGAAGUAGCUUUUUUAAAGAAAACUGAUUCUCCAUUGUGAUAUUUCCAGUUUUUGCAUUUUCUUCCGCCUUAAGAGUGUUACCAACAUGAGCAGUGCAACUGUGCAAAGGAACUUUGGGUUGAAAGGACUUGGGAAUUUUGAUAGUACAGUUAAACUACAGCGCCCUACUCUAAUGUGAAAAUAGCCAAAUACUAAUCGAACAGAAACCAGCAAGUUUACAAGCACAGUCCCACCACAUUUUUUUUUUGGUCCCACCACGUUAGUAAUUAACCAUAGGAUGAUUUUAAAACCUACCGAUAGCCAUCUUGGUUCAAAUUUCAUAUUCCUUGUCACCCAUCACCAAUUUGAGGAUCUCCAAUCAAUAUACCCCAGGAGAUCCAUUUUAUGAGUCAGAAGCACAUAACAGCAGUUGCAAUGCAAGGCAGGCAAAGGAAUCAGAAGAAGCAAAGUCAUGCCGAAUUGUCAAGAGCAUAUUGAAACCAAAGCUGCCACUGGAGGUUAAAGGAAAGAACAGGAACUAAAUUGUCAAUAUUAUGUCAUUUAGAAGUUAGUAAAACGUCGUCUCCGCUACACCAUACAUAAGAACACUUAAUGCAAGACCAAAUUCCAGUUUUCUGGACCACGUGCAAUUAAGUUUUACUUGUCAAACGUCAGAUAGCAGUUGCUCUAGUUGAAGAGGACCAAUUCUAGAGUCUAGACUACAGGUUCUUCGGCCUCCAGCUCUGUGCGAAAAAUACAUCUAAGCGAGAAUUUCAAAAAGAAAAUAAAGCUGGAAGACCAAAAAAUUACAUGCUUUAAAAGACUUAGAGCACGCUUACUUGUAGCUACCUAAAAGAAAAUGGGUCUCGCAUGCUUCAGACUGACUAGUCUUAGUAAAGAAACAGGAAUUCGACAUUACUUCACAUAAUAUUUAAACAUACUCUGUUGAUCACCAUGCGUACCACAAGUCAUCGGAAAUACCGGACAAAAGGGCCUAACAGAUAGAAGUAGGGGAUUAUCAUUUGAACCACACUUCUUUCUGUUCUCAAAGAAGCAGCUCCAGAAACACUUCCAUUCAAGGAAACAAAUAAAACUUUUUCUCACCCAUCCCUCAAAAACAAAAAAGUUGCAAGCAAAUUCUUGCAAGUAAUGUAAGGAAGCAUAUUGAGGAAGAAAUCUUUUGGCAAGUGUUGCAUUCUAUUAAAGCAAACUUUCAACAUCAGAUGUCCAUAAAGCAAGCUCCCAGCAAGGGAAUCAGAUGACUCCACAAUUAGCAUUAAAGUAAGUAGCAUCAACAAAAGACUAACUUGUGAAAAACAACUAAUACUAAUCCCAAAGAAGACUAACUUCUCAAAAGAACAAUCACCGGACAACAACAUAGGGGACUAACUUGCAAAAACUGACUUGUCAACAAAAC